CAGCCGCCGCGGGAAUACGGAGGGCGCGAGCGUUACCCGGAUUUACUGGGCGUAAAGGGCGUGUAGGCGGCCUGGGGCGUCCCAUGUGAAAGGCCACGGCUCAACCGUGGAGGAGCGUGGGAUACGCUCAGGCUAGAGGGUGGGAGAGGGUGGUGGAAUUCCCGGAGUAGCGGUGAAAUGCGCAGAUACCGGGAGGAACGCCGAUGGCGAAGGCAGCCACCUGGUCCACUUCUGACGCUGAGGCGCGAAAGCGUGGGGAGCAAACCGGAUUAGAUACCCUGUAGUCCCUGUCUCUUAUACA
rnacentral:rRNA from 1 species